AGGGAUUUUCUCUUAUUCAAUGGAUCUUAUAAGAUUCACAUGCCGAUCCAGCGCAGUAAUGUUUACAUUUGAAAGAUGUGGAAAAAAUAUUACAUUCAGAUCAGCGAUCCGUUUCAGUGAGUCUUUAGACAGUUUCCUAAACUACGAACUUGUCAUUAAAAAAGAAGGGAAUCUAGGAAGGAGCAUAACUUGUUUUUCAAGAUCUGCGAAAAUAGUUUUCUAGGAUGCAAAAUUAGGUAUGUAACGCUUGAUCCCUUCAAAAAAAACAGCAUGUAUUAGCCAUGGAUUGAGGCUAAAUUAAAUUUGUACAAUGAUAUUUCCAGCAUUACUAUUACACAGUUUUUUGUUAGA